rnacentral:rRNA from 1 species
GUAAUUCCAGCUCCAAUAGCGUAUAUUAAAGUUGUUGCAGUUAAAAAGCUCGUAGUUGGAUUUCGGAAGGUCCUUAGCAGUCCGCCCCUUCGGGGAGCGGGCUGCUGGCCUCCUAUGUUCCUAACGGUCCUCAUCCGCGAGGGUGUCGAAUCAACCGCUAGGAUCGUUUACUUUGAGGAAAUUAGAGUGUUCAAAGCAGGCGUAACUCGCCUCCGAAUACGUUAGCAUGGGAUAAUGGAAUACGACUUCGGUCUUGUUUCGUUGGUUUCGCUUGGCUGAAGUAAUGAUUGAUAGGGACAGUUGGGGGCAUUAGUAUGUAGUUGUCAGAGGUGAAAUUCUAGGAUUUACUAAAGACUGACCAAUGCGAAAGCAUUUGCCAAGGAUGUUUUCAUUAAUCAAGAACGAAAGUAGGGGGAUCGAAGACGAUCAGAUACCGUCGUAGUCUCUACCGUAAACUAUGCCGACCAGGGAUCCGGAGAGUUUGCAUGGAUGACUCCCCGGGCACCUUGUGAGAAAUCAUAAGUGUUUGGGUUUUGGGGGGAGUAUGGUCGCAAGGCUGAAACUUAAAGGAAUUGACGGAAGGGCACCACCAGGAGUGGAACCUGCGGCUUAAUUUGACUCAACACGGGGAAACUUACGAGGUCAGGACACUGUGAGGAUUGACAGAUUGCUAGCUCGUUCGUGAUUCAGUGGGUGGUGGUGCAUGGCCGUUC